AGGGAUGUUAUAUUUCAUGAAACUUGUUUUCCCUUUGCAACUGCUUCUGUUGUUACCUCUGGUCCUUCUGUUUUUCCUUCUCCUUCUGUCUGUUCCCUAAGCAUCCCUAUUCUGAGAUAGAUCUGUCUGACUGCUUCUGUUGUUACCUCUGGUCAUUCUGUUUUUCCUUCUCCUUCUGUUCCUUCCCUGAGCAUCCCUAUUCUGAGACAGAUCUGUCUGCUCUCAUUUGCUCUUCUCUCCUUUCUCCUUGUGCAUCUUUUCCUUCUGCUUCCUGUUCUGUUCCCUUUUCUUUUUCUCCCUCACUAAUUUCUGAUCUUAACCAUCCUGCUUCCAGUCCACCUUUCAAUCCUGCUACCUCUCCUCCUGCUAUUUCUUCCUCUCCUGCACCUACUGGCCAGAGAAGAUCUGGAAGGAAACACAAUCAUCCCUCUUAUCUCAAUGACUAUGUUUGUCCCUUACCUUCCUUUUCUGGCUCUUCCUCCUCUUCUUCUCUUUUGGAAUCUGAACCUCUUUAUUAUUCUCAAGUUGCAUCAGUCCCAGUCUGGCAGGAUGCCAUGAGAAAGGAGUUUGAGGCAUUGGAUGCCAACCAUACUUGGGAUGUUGUUCCCAUCCCUCCUGGUAAGAAGCCCAUAGGCUGCAAAUUG
rnacentral:lncRNA from 1 species